UACGGGGGGGGCAAGCGUUGUUCGGAAUUACUGGGCGUAAAGGGCUCGUAGGCGGCCAACUAAGUCAGACGUGAAAUCCCUCGGCUUAACCGGGGAACUGCGUCUGAUACUGGAUGGCUUGAGUGUGGGAGAGGGAUGCGGAAUUCCAGGUGUAGCGGUGAAAUGCGUAGAUAUCUGGAGGAACACCGGUGGCGAAGGCGGCAUCCUGGACCGGCAUUGACGCUGAGUGAGCGAAAGCCAGGGGAGCAAACGGG
rnacentral:rRNA from 1 species